UCGUCGUGAAUCACACUUUUACGCACACAAACACAUAGUUAUUUCUUAUAGAACAACACCUCUCUCUCUUUCUACCUCUGUCCAACGCCAAUUCACUCUCCGGCUCCGAUCAACACUUGUAUACUCAUCUGUCUACAACCCCACAUGACUAGAGUACCACUUUUCUCCCUUAUUUCAUCUUUACCUAGAAAAAUUUGAGGCUUAGGGCUUGAAGCACAUCUAAUUUGAGUUGUUGCAAAAAUAAGCUCAAGAAGUAAAUUGCAGUGGAAGAGCUUCUCAUUCCAUCAAGGGCAAAUGGACUCUCGAAUCUUCGUAAUCGUUUCAGCAAGGAAAAAGAGACCGAGGGAUUUUGGCACGAUAGCACAUCCGACUCAUUUUGAACUAAAACUCCAGUGGCAUAUACUUACACUUUUUGAAGGGGAAAUCUCUUUUGUUGUAUAGCGUAACAACACUAGUCAUCGUGCGUGUAUGGAGUUCCGGUCGGACGUCGCGACGGGCGACCCGGACGUCCGCCACUGUGGCGUUUAGGGUCGGAUACGGACGUCCCAUGAGGACGUCGGGUGUCCUCGGACGUCCCUGCGACGGGCGGGCGGACGUCCGC